rnacentral:rRNA from 1 species
AAAUUAUUUCAAUUUUCUUUCACAAUACUAUUACACUAUAAUUAAAAUUAUUUUUUCAUUAUUCAUUACUAAAACAAAACUUUUUAUAAUUAUUUUUAAUAAAUUAAAUUUUUAAAAAAUAUAAAUUAAUAAAUAAAAUAUAAUCAAUUUAUAUUGAUUUGCACAAAAAUCUUUUCAAUGUAAAUGAAAUGCUUUACUUAAUAAGCUUUAAAUUGCAUUCUAGGUACACUUUCCAGUACAUCUACUAUGUUACGACUUAUCUUACCUUAAUAGUAAGAGUGACGGGCGAUGUGUGCAUAUUUUAGAGCUAAAAUCAAAUUAUUAAUCUUUAUAAUUUUACUAUCAAAUCCACCUUCAAUAAACAUUUCAAAUUUAUAUCCAUAUAAAUAAUUUUAUUGUAACCCAUUUCUACUUAAAUAUAAGCUACACCUUGAUCUGAUAUAUUUUCUUUUUAAAAAUUAUGAAAAUUAACAUUCUUAUAAAAUAUUCUAAUAACGACGGUAUAUAAACUGAUUACAAACUUAAGUGAGGUCCAUCGUGGAUUAUCGAUUAUAGAACAGGUUCCUCUGAAUAGACUAAAAUACCGCCAAUUUUUUAGGUUUCAAGAACAUAACUA